AUUCGCCCUUAGAGUUUGAUCCUGGCUCAGGACGAACGCUGGCGGCGUGCUUAACACAUGCAAGUCGAACGAGAAUCAUAGGAAGGAGAUUUCGGUCAACGGACUAUGAGGACAGUGGCGGACGGGUGAGUAACGCGUGAGGAACCUGCCUUUCAGAGGGGGACAACAGUUGGAAACGACUGCUAAUACCGCAUAAUGCAUAGGAGCCGCAUGACUCCUAUGCCAAAGAUUUAUCGCUGAAAGAUGGCCUCGCGUCUGAUUAGCUGGUUGGUGAGGUAACGGCCCACCAAGGCGACGAUCAGUAGCCGGACUGAGAGGUUGAACGGCCACAUUGGGACUGAGAUACGGCCCAGACUCCUACGGGAGGCAGCAGUGGGGAAUAUUGGGCAAUGGGCGCAAGCCUGACCCAGCAACGCCGCGUGAAGGAAGAAGGCUUUCGGGUUGUAAACUUCUUUUGUCAGGGAAGAGAAGAAGACUGUACCUGGCGAAUAAGCCACGGCUAACUACGUGCCAGCAGCCGCGGUAAUACGUAGGUGGCAAGCGUUGUCCGGAUUUACUGGGUGUAAAGGGCGUGUAGCCGGGUCGGUAAGUCAGAUGUGAAAUCUACGGGCUCAACUCGUAAACUGCAUUUGAAACUGCUGAUCUUGAGUAUCGGAGAGGCAAUCGGAAUUCCUAGUGUAGCGGUGAAAUGCGUAGAUAUUAGGAGGAACACCAGUGGCGAAGGCGGAUUGCUGGACGACAACUGACGGUGAGGCGCGAAAGCGUGGGGAGCAAACAGAAUUAGAUACCCUGGUAGUCCACGCUGUAAACGAUGAAUACUAGGUGUGCGGGGACUGACCCCCUGCGUGC
rnacentral:rRNA from 1 species